rnacentral:rRNA from 1 species
AUGAAGCACCAGCUUGCUGGUGUGGAUUAGUGGCGAACGGGUGAGUAACACGUGAGUAACCUGCCCCCUACUCUGGGAUAAGCCUGGGAAACUGGGUCUAAUACUGGAUAUGACCAAUCACUGCAUGGUGUGUUGGUGGAAAGAUUUUUUGGUGGGGGAUGGACUCGCGGCCUAUCAGCUUGUUGGUGGGGUAAUGGCCUACCAAGGCGACGACGGGUAGCCGGCCUGAGAGGGCGACCGGCCACACUGGGACUGAGACACGGCCCAGACUCCUACGGGAGGCAGCAGUGGGGAAUAUUGCACAAUGGGCGAAAGCCUGAUGCAGCGACGCCGCGUGAGGGAUGACGGCCUUCGGGUUGUAAACCUCUUUCACCAGGGACGAAGCUAACGUGACGGUACCUGGAGAAGAAGCACCGGCUAACUACGUGCCAGCAGCCGCGGUAAUACGUAGGGUGCGAGCGUUGUCCGGAAUUAUUGGGCGUAAAGAGCUUGUAGGCGGUUUGUCGCGUCUGCUGUGAAAGACCGGGGCUUAACUCCGGUUCUGCAGUGGGUACGGGCAGACUAGAGUAUGGUAGGGGAGACUGGAAUUCCUGGUGUAGCGGUGAAAUGCGCAGAUAUCAGGAGGAACACCGAUGGCGAAGGCAGGUCUCUGGGCCAUUACUGACGCUGAGAAGCGAAAGCAUGGGGAGCG